AGAGUUUGAUCAUGGCUCAGGAUGAACGCUAGCGGCAGGCUUAACACAUGCAAGUCGAGGGGUAUAAGUCUUCGGAUUUAGAGACCGGCGCACGGGUGCGUAACGCGUAUGCAAUCUACCUUUCACAGCGGGAUAGCCCAGAGAAAUUUGGAUUAAUACCUCAUAGCAUAGCAGCUUCGCAUGAAGCCGCUAUUAAAGUCACAACGGUGAAAGAUGAGCAUGCGUCCCAUUAGCUAGUUGGUAAGGUAACGGCUUACCAAGGCUACGAUGGGUAGGGGUCCUGAGAGGGAGAUCCCCCACACUGGUACUGAGACACGGACCAGACUCCUACGGGAGGCAGCAGUGAGGAAUAUUGGACAAUGGGCGCAAGCCUGAUCCAGCCAUGCCGCGUGCAGGAUGACGGUCCUAUGGAUUGUAAACUGCUUUUAUACGAGAAGAAACACUCCAACGUGUUGGAGCUUGACGGUAUCGUAAGAAUAAGGAUCGGCUAACUCCGUGCCAGCAGCCGCGGUAAUACGGAGGAUCCAAGCGUUAUCCGGAAUCAUUGGGUUUAAAGGGUCCGUAGGCGGUUUAAUAAGUCAGUGGUGAAAGCCCAUCGCUCAACGGUGGAACGGCCAUUGAUACUGUUAAACUUGAAUUAUUAGGAAGUAACUAGAAUAUGUAGUGUAGCGGUGAAAUGCUUAGAGAUUACAUGGAAUACCAAUUGCGAAGGCAGGUUACUACUAAUUGAUUGACGCUGAUGGACGAAAGCGUGGGUAGCGAACAGGAUUAGAUACCCUGGUAGUCCUCGCCGUAAACGAUGGAUACUAGCUGUUGGGAGCAAUCUCAGUGGCUAGCGAAAGUGAUAAGUAUCCCACCUGGGGAGUACGUUCGCAAGAAUGAAACUCAAAGGAAUUGACGGGGGCCCGCACAAGCGGUGGAGCAUGUGGUUUAAUUCGAUGAUACGCGAGGAACCUUACCAAGGCUUAAAUGUAGAUUGACCGAUUUGGAAACAGAUCUUUCGCAAGACAAUUUACAAGGUGCUGCAUGGUUGUCGUCAGCUCGUGCCGUGAGGUGUCAGGUUAAGUCCUAUAACGAGCGCAACCCCUGUUGUUAGUUGCCAGCGAGUCAUGUCGGGAACUCUAACAAGACUGCCAGUGCAAACUGUGAGGAAGGUGGGGAUGACGUCAAAUCAUCACGGCCCUUACGCCUUGGGCUACACACGUGCUACAAUGGCCGGUACAGAGAGCAGCCACUGGGCGACCAGGAGCGAAUCUAUAAAACCGGUCACAGUUCGGAUCGGAGUCUGCAACUCGACUCCGUGAAGCUGGAAUCGCUAGUAAUCGGAUAUCAGCCAUGAUCCGGUGAAUACGUUCCCGGGCCUUGUACACACCGCCCGUCAAGCCAUGGAAGCUGGGGGUGCCUGAAGUCGGUGACCGCAAGGAGCUGCCUAGGGUAAAACUGGUAACUAGGGCUAGUCGUAACAAGGUA
rnacentral:rRNA from 1 species